UGGGUAUGUGGCUCAAUGGUAGAGCACGUGUCUAGCACGUGUGAGGCCCUGGAUUCAAUCCCCAGCACCUAG
rnacentral:tRNA from 1 species